rnacentral:lncRNA from 1 species
UAUGCUUGUGAGGAGAGAGAGCGGUCUUUGGAACAAGAUAGGCUAAUUUUUUAAUUCUCUUUCUGCUGUUGAUAUCCUCUGUGACCUCAACAAAUCACUCAAUUUUUAAUGCAACAGUUUCCUCAUUUUAAGAUGAUUCAAUGAUAGCAUCUACAACAUAAUUCAUUGUAAAUAAUAAGUGAAUCAUAUAUGUAAGUUAUUGUAUAUAACAGUGCCUGGAUAUAGCACCAAGUAUAAUUAUUAUUACUCAUUGCAGCUCAUUAUACAUUAGUAAAUAGUGUGCAAAUAGCUUACAGACUUGAUCUUUGUAAAAUGGAAAUACUAUAUAAGGCUCCUAUAAUAACCUUAAACACUCAUUGUUUGACUCAUUAUAAAAUCAUCUGGGUUGCAGUUAUUAAAACAUAUUGUCUUUAAUAUGAAACGUAGAAAAAUUCCAUUUGGUAACAGUAACAAAAACUGGUUGUGCUUCUCAUUCACAUUUUUUGUCUUUAAAAUUGUGUUUUUCUUUUUAUUACUAAUAUAAUUUUGAUUAAAAACCACAUUUGUAAUCAAUAGGGUACAAUGUGAUCUUUUGAUAUGUGUACAAAAUGUGAAAUAAUACAUCAAGAUAAUUAAAAUGUAUCCUUUCUUAUCUAUCAUUUUUCAUGCUGAGACAUUUGAAAUUGAUUCCUAGUUUUUUUGAAACAUACAUUGUAUUAUUAUUGACUAUAAUGAUCCUAAUGUCACUAUGGUGACAUUACUGAAGUAUGCAUUAUUUUGAGCUCAAAACCUAUUCCUUCUUUUCUUCUAAAACUUUGUACCUUUGGAACAGUCCUUCCCUCUCUUCCAGUACCCUCCUUAUUAAGCCUCCUAUAACUAUCAUGUCUCUCUGCUUCUAUGAAAACAAGCUUGGUUCUAAAUGCUAUGGGUAGUGAAGAUAUGUAUUGACAGUAAUGUUUCCUUCAAACCAUUAAUUACAGGAAAUGCAGAGCCAAAGUUUCUACUCAUCACUCAGAGAUCAUAUUUUUUAAACUAACGUUAAGCAUGCUGCAGUAUUAUGGUUUUUAUAUUUGUUUAUAUCUUUUAUAAUACUAUGGUAUUAUUUUUUUAAAUUAUACAUUACUAUUUCC